GAGUGCAGCAGAUGGCUGCUGACCUGAAGACAUUGAAAGCAGAAUGUACUCAACACUGUCAUAGCAACACUGCACUACAGAACACUUACACACAGGCGCAGAGGGAAAAUCAGACAUUAAAAGAGCAACUCUUCGCACUAAAGCAACAGCACAGAGACACGAAUGAAGUAGCUCAAACUCUGGAGAAUGUCCUGUCGUCUCACACUCGUCUGCAGCAGAACACACAAACACUGCAUGCAGAGCUGAGAGAAAGAGCACAGGAACUACACCCACUCAGGAGAGAGAGGUGUGUGUGAGAGACUAAGAAGACACACAUCUGAUUAGAGGAAAAGGGUCAUUGCAACAU